rnacentral:tRNA from 1 species
GCCAUCUUAGCUCAGUUGGUAGAGCGCGUGACUUGUAAUCUCGAGGUCUUCGGUUCGACUCCGGAAGAUGGCU